rnacentral:tRNA from 1 species
UCCCUGGCAGUCCAGUGGUUAAGACUCUGUGCUUCCAAUGUAGGGGAUCCAGGUUCGAUCCCUAGCCAGGGAA